rnacentral:lncRNA from 1 species
AUCAUUAUUGAAAACCUUUGGCGAAUUGUACGUAGAAAAAAAUGGUGGAAAAGGCCGCUUUCCAGCGCCGAGCAUUAUUCGCGAUCAGCCAGGAGAGAAGGUGUGUGAUUAAAAAGGAGAGGGAGAGAGAGAGAGAAAAGGGGGGCUCGUUCUGGAUCCACAUUUGGAGUGAUCGCCUCUUUUGCCGAAAGCUACUCCUGGCAUGAUCCAUUAGAAAAAAAAAAUCUCUCCCUCACCUAAUCGAUGAUAGCGAGCAAAGAAUUGGAGCCUUCCUCUUUCUCCCUUGGGAUUUUUCCUUUCUUAAAUCCCAGCGAUCGUUCAAUCCUCCUUGAUCCAUUCAACUCAAUCCUGAAGAAUUCAAUGCUAGCGCUCGCGAUGCUCAGACAUUUAUCCCCAAUGCUCGUCGCAAUCUCCAUCCUCGUUUUCCUCCCAAUCGCUCUGGGCGGAGCUUCUUCCCGGAUUGGCUUCGCGGAGGAGAAAGAGGUCCCGGUGUGGCCCAAGCCCCACUCACUCCUCGCCAGUGGCUCGGGGUCGCUGGCAUUGGCCGAGAAUUUCACGCUGCGCUCGUCGCCGGACUCGAUCGCGACGCUGAGCAGCGCAUUCGCUCGAUACCGCGAGAUUAUCUUCCUCCACCACUCGAUCUUCCUCGCCUCUCGCCAGAUCCCCGAGAGCAUACCACAGCUCCAGGCGCUCAGCGUUCGAAUCUCAUCCCCGGACGAAACAGUGAGUCAAAAUCUCCCUCCAUAGCCAGGGUUUUUAGUCUGGAAAUAUUUUGCGCCAUGGGCGCUCUCGAUCAAGGGAGGCGCGCGAGCCGCGCCGAGCUCGAUCGAGGCGCGGGGCAUGGUAUUCUUGCGAUCGAUCGUUUCUUGCGCCUCUGGUCUUACUCCUAAGCUCUCUCGCAGCUCCAAAUCGGCGUGGAUGAGUCGUAUCGCCUCCAAAUCCCGGAUCCCGACGAUGCUACUGCCGCAUUGCUCACGGUAAAUCCCAGCGCUGCUCCUUCUUGAUGGAAAUUUGAUUGUUCUUUCGUGGGAUUCUCCUCUUUCAGGCAGAGACUGUGUAUGGAGCCCUACACGGAUUGGAGGUAAUGUACGGACAUUGAUAGUCUCUGGAGUGAAAUUUUCGUGUUCUUGGUGCUCUCUCAGACGUUUAGCCAGAUCUGCGCGUUCAAUUUCACGACGAAGAUGACGGAAGUGCGAUACAUCCCAGUGGACAUCGUCGAUCGGCCGAGAUUUGAGUAUCGAGGUCUCUUGAUUGGUACGAUGAUUAGCUUUCUUCGUGUGUCUGUCUCUUCACUCAUUGUAAGCUUUUCUUUUUUAUCACAGACACUUCGAGGCACUAUGAGCCCCUCAAGAUUGUCCGGAGCGUCAUUGAUUCCAUGGCCUACGCCAAGCUGGUGAAUACUUAAAACUUUCAUCAUACUGUUGGUGUUGACGGAUUUUUUUACGUGUUUCUAGAAUGUUUUGCACUGGCAUAUUGUCGACACCCAAUCGUUUCCUUUGGAGAUUCCUUCCUUUCCUAAGCUUUGGAAUGGAGCGUAUACCGGAGCCGAGCGCUACACUCUAGAAGAUGCCAAGGGUAUUGUCGAGUAAGUCCACAAUUUUUGUCCCUUUCACGUGCCAAACAAAUUUUGGAAUUUCGGAUUGUCAGAUACGCGAGGCUAAGAGGAAUCAAUGUGAUGCCAGAGCUUGAUGUUCCCGGUCAUGCUGCAUCCUGGUCUGAUUCUCUUUUGCGUUAUCAAUAAGAUAGAUUGCUUCAAUUGUGCCGGAUCAACAGGGGCGUAGGCUAUCCGGAACUGUGGCCCUCCGGGAACUGUACGCAACCUUUGGAUGUAAGCAGUGAGUUCACUUUUGAGGUCAUCGAAGGGAUCAUUUCGGGCAAGUAGUGAUAAACUUCCGGAGGCAGCAAAGCAUUGACUCUGUUUUCCUGUAGAUUUUGCAAAGACCUUUCCUUUCAAAUUCAUGCACCUUGGUGGUGACGAAGUCGAUACAAGUAAGCCACAGAAAUACUUCCAAGUUUCUCAUGUUUGAUGUUUAGCCUGCUGGAAGAAGACGCGACAUAUAGCCAGAUGGUAUGUAGUCAAGUUUCGGGAUCAAGUUUCGGCUUAUUCUAACAUGCAGGCUUGCACAUAACAAUUUCACCGCCAAGCAAGGCUACGAAUACUUUGUUCUACGCGCGCAAAAGAUUGCCCUGAAGUACGGGCUUACUCCCGUGAAUUGGUAAAUUCUAAAAGACUUUCUGAACUUUAUAAAGCUGACAAUAACAAUGCCAAUGCAGGGAAGAGACUUUUAAUAACUUUGGUAGCAAACUCAAUAACGAGACGAUCAUUCACAACUGGUCUAAGCUUUAUCCUUACGUUUUCUUAGGAUACUCACAUUCCUGGAACUUACUUUUCAGGAUAGGACCUGGUCUGGCGCCACUCGUUGUAGGAGCAGGUUUCAAGUGCAUCGUGAGUGAUCAAGACGUGUGGUAUCUGGAUCAUCUCGACGUACCAUGGCAAAGCUUUUACAAGAACGAGCCACUCACAAACAUAACGGGAGAGCAUGAGCAGAGUUUGAUAAUUGGAGGAGAAGUUUGCAUGUGGGGCGAAACUGUGGAUCCAAGCGACAUACAUCAAACAAUCUGGCCUCGAGCGGCAGCUGCAGCCGGUGAGUCCGGGUCUCGGCCGUGUUUCUCACUCACAUUUGAGCUUUUCUAGAACGCUUGUGGUCUCCGAGGAGCUUCACGGACCAGGGAACUUCGCAAGUCCAUUCGAGGCUCAAAACUUUCAGGUGUUUGCUACAACAGCGAGGGAUCCCUGCAGCUCCAGUAGAUGAGCUUGGGCGGGUGUCUCCGCCGUAUCCAGGUUCUUGUUACGACCAGUAAAGUAUCGCAGAAUUUUUAUGUAGCGUGUUAAUUUACUUGCUUCUCAACAAUCUCAGUGUGUACAUUGCAGCUUUCAAUGGUUAUUAUAAGAAGUAUGCGCAAGCAGGAGAUACGCUCCAGAGUUUCCUGGCUCGAGCUUGACAGCCUCGUCCACAACUUGGUUGGCUCGAUGCAAAUCCCCGUGAGUCCGACAGGCGCCCAGAACACUUGUCCAUCCCACUGCCCCCAGCAGCUUGGACGUUUUCAUCACGAGCUCCUCGGCGUCCCGCAGCCGUCCAGCUCGUCCCAGCAGAUCAAUCACGCAGACGUAGUGCUCCUCCCGCGGCUCGACUCCAAAGUCCUCGGUCAUCGACACAAAGUAGCUCCAGGCCUCGUCCACCAUCCCUGCGUGAGCACACNNNNNNNNNNNNNNNNNNNNNNNNNNNNNNNNNNNNNNNNNNNNNNNNNNNNNNNNNNNNNNNNNNNNNNNNNNNNNNNNNNNNNNNNNNNNNNNNNNNNAAGCAAAAGCAAAGCAAAAGUCCCAGAAGGCACGGGCAUCCACCACGAAUCGAAAAUAGAUUAAUACAAAUAAUAAUCUUAUGGGCGCUCAAUGAGCCACAAACGUCCAAACUAAUGAGCUACUAACAUUACUACAGAGGAAGAUUUUUCUCUUUUAUUUGGCAAUUUUAUUUGAACCAUGGAGCUCUUUAGCACUGGAUGAAGAAGCUGUUCCAUCCAAAGCCCGAGCAGUCCUGUACAGAGGCACUAAACCGUGUCUGCGCCACACCUUGGCAGUUUGCCGUGUUGUAGGCCGCAGCAGUCUGGCCCUGGUACCCAAAGCUGUAGCCGCCGUGCUGCGAGGCUCCAACAUUGGUGCAUCCACAAGCACUGUAGCGCACCCGCUGAUUGUUACACCCGGGCCCUGCCCAAGUAUCGAAGUAGCUUGCAUUGGCCGUGAUCAUUGAUCCCAAGACAAUGACCGCCACAAGAACGAGCACCAUUUUUCCUGCCAUUGUCACGCAAACACAAAGCUAUGCUAUGAUCGUCAAUCAAAUGAAAACUCUCUCAAGGAAGAUCCAAUGAACAUCUAAGAGCACACAACAGUGAGAUUUAUACACCACCUCUUGCACGCGCCAAACAGUCAAGGGUCAUCUUUUGCAUGCGCAGUCAAUGACGUGCACAAGCCCUAAAAUAUUAUCAUUAUUGAAAACCUAAUUGUACGUAGGAAAAAAUGGUGGAAAAGGCCGCUUUCCAUUGGCAGGCCAGCGCCGAGCAUUUAUUCGCGAUCAGCCAGGACAGAAGGUGUGUGAUUAAAAAGGAGAGGGAGUGUUAGAGCCACGUGGUGUACAGCCAGCUGGCUUUUGUUUUGGUCUCGUCCUGGAGUUUUCUUCUGGAAUAUAUGGUCAAAGACAACCUUACAGGUGAAUGGUAAAUCAAGACAUUGAUAGUUUUCUCAAUUUCUUGUUACAAAAUAUCAGCAACAACAUCCUGCUCCUGCAUUUGCAUAAAGAGCUUGGAAGCCACCUCCGGAUCGCCGAUCUCGAAACGUCUAAGGAUCAUAGAAGUCCGCGAGGUGACAUUCCUGUGAGGCAUUUCUUGGAAGAGCUGCCAAGCCACCCCAGCCCCCCACCGCACUUGAAAUACAAGUCCAUCAAAAUAUUCUCCAGCAAGAUCGAUGGAGAAAGCGCCGAGCUGCCGACCUCUGCCGAACAUCGUAGUGAAUCCUCCUCCCGCUCCCAAUAUCUCUCGAUCUGGCAACGCAAUGUUUCAGCGCUGCGACAGUGGCUCCCAUGCCCGGCGCCUGGCCGCUGCGCCGCUGCGAAUCGUAUGCUUGCAGCGCAUUGCCGCAUCCCUCGCGAGUGCAACAUCGCAUUCAUGGCCACAAAUUUCUUUUUGAAAAAGCUUAUAACAUAAAGCUUCUGAUUACGUUUCAAAGUCAGAGUAAUUUUGGAUAAGAGUGUAAUUGGGAGAGGCAGGUGUGGUGUGGAAAGGUCUUUGCCAAUUUAGUCUGUUGAAAGCUCGAGCAAUUUGUGUUCCUGUAUAGUAAAACAUGCCCAUUUACUGUAGUAUGCAAAAACCAUUGGUACAGCCCAGUUGCUGCAAAGACACUAAUAGAAAUGUCGCAAACACCAUUAGAAGAAUUGCUAAUGUAUAUGAAUCUGACAUUUUGCUUCAACAUGUGAACUAUCUUAAAUUGGCAGAAAAUAACUACAGAAAGCAAAAGCAAAGCAAAAGUUCCAGAUGGCAUGGGCAUCCAUCACGAAUCUAAAAUAGAAUAAUACAAAUAAUAAUCUUAUGGGCGCUCAAUGAGCCACAAACGUCCAAACUAAUGAGCUACUAACAUUACUACAGAGGAAGAUUUUUCUCUUUUAUUUGGCAAUUUUAUUUGAACCAUGGAGCUCUUUAGCACUGGAUGAAGAAGCUGUUCCAUCCAAAGCCCGAGCAGUCCCGUACAGAGGCACUAAACCGUGUCUGCGCCACACCUUGGCAGUUUGCCGUGUUGUAGGCCGCAGCAGUCUGGCCCGUGAGGCUCCAACAUUGGUGCAUCCACAAGCACUGUAGCGCUCCAGCCGAUUGUUACACCCGGGCCCUGCCCAAGCAUCGAAGUAGCUUGCAUUGGCCGUGAUCAUCGAUCCCACCACAGUGAUGGCGACAAGAACGAGCACCAUUUUUCCUGCCAUUGUCACACAAACACAAAGCUAUACUAUGAUCGUCAAUCAAAUGAAAACUCUUUCAAGGAAGAUCUAAUGAACAUCUAAGAGCACACAACAGUGAGAUUUAUACACGAGGAGUCAGCUCUUGCAUGCGCGCCACGAAACAGUCAAGGGUCAAAGGUGGUAAAAAAAAUUCUAACCCUAAACAACGUGCACAAACCCUAAAAUAUAUCUUUGGACGACAAAAUAUUUGGCUUUGGACGACAAGCAUUAUCAUUAUUGAAAACCUUUGGCGAAUUGUACGUAGAAAAAAAUGGUGGAAAAGGCCGCUUUCCAGCGCCGAGCAUUAUUCGCGAUCAGCCAGGAGAGAAGGUGUGUGAUUAAAAAGGAGAGGGAGAGAGAGAGAGAAAAGGGGGGCUCGUUCUGGAUCCACAUUUGGAGUGAUCGCCUCUUUUGCCGAAAGCUACUCCUGGCAUGAUCCAUUAGAAAAAAAAAAUCUCUCCCUCACCUAAUCGAUGAUAGCGAGCAAAGAAUUGGAGCCUUCCUCUUUCUCCCUUGGGAUUUUUCCUUUCUUAAAUCCCAGCGAUCGUUCAAUCCUCCUUGAUCCAUUCAACUCAAUCCUGAAGAAUUCAAUGCUAGCGCUCGCGAUGCUCAGACAUUUAUCCCCAAUGCUCGUCGCAAUCUCCAUCCUCGUUUUCCUCCCAAUCGCUCUGGGCGGAGCUUCUUCCCGGAUUGGCUUCGCGGAGGAGAAAGAGGUCCCGGUGUGGCCCAAGCCCCACUCACUCCUCGCCAGUGGCUCGGGGUCGCN